UACGGAGGGUGCAAGCGUUGUUCGGAAUCAUUGGGCGUAAAGGGCGCGUAGGCGGGUCGUUAAGUCCGACGUGAAAUCCCUCGGCUCAACUGAGGAAGUGCAUCGGAUACUGGCGGUCUUGAGUCCUGGAGAGGGUAGCGGAAUUCCCAGUGUAGAGGUGAAAUUCGUAGAUAUUGGGAGGAACACCGGUGGCGAAGGCGGCUACCUGGAUAGUGACUGACGCUGAGGCGCGAAAGCAUGGGUAGCAAACAGG
rnacentral:rRNA from 1 species